UCGUCAGGUAGGAUAAUCCUUACCUGUUCCUCCCUCGGGAGGGCAGCUCGGAACAUGAUGAUUGGAGCUCGCAUGAUUCGUGAUUAGCGUCUCUGCGUAGUCGGGACUUGCAACACCCCGGCUGCUCCUAUCUGAU
rnacentral:snoRNA from 12 species